UUAUAAAGAUACCAUAAUAAACAUAUUAGAUGAUUAGUUGGGUUGGUUAAGGUGUUAACCUUGUACCAACCCAACCAAGGUUCGAUUCCCCUUGGCAGCAAAAUUUAUCAUCUUCUUCGUGGUUUUACUAUGACCUGAAUCCUAUCUUAUUCCUUAUCAGAGUACACUGUACCCGCACGUCUAGAUGCUUAUUUUUGAGAAACUUAAGUGAACUGUUAAGGGUGAUUUCGGCACGUUGUGAUUAUAAUGACUAAAAUUGACGAUAAAAAUUUGAUUGUUUGAUAUGAUUAUAAUAGGGAAACAUGGCUAUAGGCCUAUAGUAUAAAAUUCAUCUAGAUUUGGCAACGUCGAGGCUCGAUCGAAGUGGUCAACUCUAAUUUAUUGUCAUUUAUCGCACGAAAACGCUCAUAUCUACCUUUCCGUGACCUAGUUUGGUCGAUUCUUCACACAUUAAACUCUCACAUAGAUGAGAUGUAACCGCCCAUGGAAAAAUUUGGGGACGUUUACUACCUGAGGAUAGGGCACCCUUUAGUAAAGCACUAUAAAUUAGACCUGCGCUUUGCUGCGAGUGUUUGAAUACAGUUUAUAUACAGAAUGCAAUUCACAACAAAAGAUUAUUGUACAUGGUGUAUUAAGCAGACUUUAGAAUUGUUCAAGACAUGGGUAUUAGGUAGUAGUUUGGGAAAAGAACAAAGAAGCAGCUAAGCUGAUGGAACAGGUUGCAAAAGAUGGAUCGUCAUACUUGUUGCAGAGAAAUUUGCUUGCUUCAGCUCAUGUUAUACCACAACCUAAAAACAAAAAAAAUAUUGUGUACUGCAUAAGACAUAGAAAAAGAAAAAUAUGCAAGAAGAGUUUGUAUCAUAUUUUUCAGCAUUUUGCUAUGCAUCAUAGCCACCAUUAUAAACAUAAAGUAAAAAUAGAAAUGACUUAAAGUCAGUGCAUCAUCAAUAACCCGGAAUGGAGAUGAGAAAGAAGCAUAAUUGUAAAGAAAAACUAAAUAAACUAAUGAAAAAAGAAAGUUAGGGCAAGAAAAUUCAAUUACCUUGAUAACAUUUGUAGGGUGGGGGUGACAAAGAAGAUUCAUGUAUGUAUUAUUGUUUCUCCAAUUGAGCGGUCAGAAUUAUGAAUACAAAAUGUCGUUUAUUUCCAAUUAGCUGAAUUCAAUUUUAUAAAUUGCAUUGCGGGCACUCACUUUUACAAAGGUGAAAAAAUAAAAAAUAAAGGAAAAAUAAAAAUAAAAAUAAAAAUAUACUAUACCGGGUUCUUUCUCCUUCCUUAGUACCCGAGAAAGUUUGAACAAUUUUCUUUCUUCUUCCUUUUCCAACACCGAGAGUUUCUGCGUUAUCAAAAUAUUAUAUCAGCUUCCAUCUUCGUAAUGAAACUCAAGAAGCAACCUUGAAUAAAAAAGAAGAAGAAAGAGAUGGACUGGGGUUGAAAGCAGAGGGAAGCCAAAUUGGAGAGCGUAGGAACAUAACCUGAUUAACAACUUCAAAGAGCAUAUACAGAGAAAUCAUCUUUCAGCAGCCUCAACUGAAACAUACAAAUUAAAGAGAAAAUCAUAAGAUUGAAUUCAAAUUUCAACUAACCAAAAUUAUUUUUAUCUUAUUAGAAUGACAAUAAUAAACUAAAGAUUGAAAGGAUUCAAGCUUGGGAUAAGGUUUAAGCUUGGGAUCAUUUAUCUGAGAGAGAAGAGAAGAAAAAAGAUGAAACGAAAAUAUAUCAGGUAUCAUCAGGGCCGGCCCUGACAAUUUCAGGGCUCUAGGCGACAACAAAAAAUGAGGCUCCUUAUUGCUAGAUGUAUUAAAAAAAAAAAAAAAAAUCUUCUUCUUCUUCAACAAUAAGUAUAUGAUCAAAUGAAUACUAAUAGAAUUAAUCCAACAAUAUAUCAAUCCAAUCAUUUGAUCAGAUACUAUAGUAGUUCAAAUAAAAUCUUAGAAUUACAAAAAACAGCACUCUUGCUACUGAAAAACAACCCUUCUUGCAUUCUUGGCUGCAAAAGUUUCAAUUAAGCUUGAAUAAUCAAGCUUUUGAACCAACUCUUUUUCAAUCGACAACAAAGCUAAAUCAUUCAAUCUUUCAUGUGACAUAGUUGAUCGAAGAUAAGAUUUGAUCAACUUUAAUUUUGAAAAGCUUCUUUUAGCAGAGGCAAUAGUAACCGGUAUGGUUAAUAGAAUCCUAUUCACAAUGACAAUUGUUAUAAUCAAGUAUGGUGGCUAAUAUUUAGUUUGGUACUUUGGUUGAACUAGUAAAUAAGGUUGAACUAGUAAAUAACAACUAUGUAAGACUAUAACUAAUAAUUGAUUCACCAAGAACUGAAGAACAAUAAGAAAAAACUUUGCAAAACUUCAACAACACUUGUUGAAAGGGUUAGGAACCAAACAUUCAAACAAUAGGUCAAUAGUAUACACACAAACAAAACAAAAAAUCUGUCUCAUCUAUUCAUCAGUCAUACAAUUAAACAAACAAGCAAAGCCAUGGAAUCAUAAAAUUGCAGCAAUUCAAUGGAAUCAUGGUACUAAAGCAAAAGGCAUCAUCGAUAAAAACAAAAAACAAAAGAAAGAAGAAGAAAAUACCUGGUAAUAUGAACAAGGACUCAAGGAGAAGAGAGAGUCUGAAACCAAGAAGAAAAAAAGUGAACAAGAGACUCUGAGAACCCCAAUUUGCCGCAAUAGAAUUAUAAAAGAGAACAAGAGAAGACGAAACGUGCCUUUUCUGGAAAAAAGAGAAUGGCUGCAUAAUUUUUUUUUUUUUUUCAUUAUAUAUAAGAAGAGGCAAUAUUUUUUUUUGGGCCCAUAAAAGUUGGGGCUCUAGGCCAGCGCCUGCUGGGCCUAUGGUCAGGGCCGGCCCUGGGUAUCAUGCAGAUUGCGAGAUACUGCAUACUGUGCAAACUUACCAGUAUUUAAUGUAACAACAAUUUGGAGAGAUACUGUUUUGGAAAAGGAUUAGUCUCUACGCCAGUUUAGAGAGAUACUGUUUGGGAUAAGGUCUCUCAAUGUCUCCAGAAAUUCUGGAAGUGUCAUUAUCUAUUGCAAGUGUAUUUUUAAAGAAUUUGAUAGAAUGUAAGGAUAAUUUAUUUGUCGGGAGUUGUUACUAAAUUACUUUUCAAACAAAUUUGCCACAGACUGUCCCAUUGGAUUUGGAAUGAAUAAUAUUCAGUUGUUUUAUAGUGAAUUAAGUUGCAAAAUAUAUAUACAUGUUCUUACUCAAGAGUCAAGACAAUAAAAUUAAGCAUAUCAAAGGGAAUGUAGGACUGACAUUUUCAUCAAUACCAAGAGACAGUGGCGGAUCCAGGAUGAAAUUCUUACUUGGGCUAGUUGUAACACUAAAAAAAUUUUCAACGAAUUCGACUUUCGAAGGUGC
rnacentral:lncRNA from 1 species